rnacentral:rRNA from 1 species
ACACAUGCAAGUCGAACGAAGCAAUUUAACGGAAGUUUUCGGAUGGAAGUUAAAUUGACUGAGUGGCGGACGGGUGAGUAACGCGUGGGUAACCUGCCUCACACUGGGGGACAACAGUUAGAAAUGACUGCUAAUACCGCAUAAGCGCACAGGACCGCAUGGUUCGGUGUGAAAAACUCCGGUGGUGUGAGAUGGACCCGCGUUUGAUUAGCUAGUUGGUGGGGUAACGGCCUACCAAGGCGACGAUCAAUAGCCGACCUGAGAGGGUGACCGGCCACAUUGGGACUGAGACACGGCCCAAACUCCUACGGGAGGCAGCAGUGGGGAAUAUUGCACAAUGGGGGAAACCCUGAUGCAGCGACGCCGCGUGAGUGAAGAAGUAUUUCGGUAUGUAAAGCUCUAUCAGCAGGGAAGAAAAUGACGGUACCUGACUAAGAAGCCCCGGCUAACUACGUGCCAGCAGCCGCGGUAAUACGUAGGGGGCAAGCGUUAUCCGGAUUUACUGGGUGUAAAGGGAGCGUAGACGGUAAAGCAAGUCUGAAGUGAAAGCCCGGGGCUCAACCCCGGGACUGCUUUGGAAACUGUUUAACUAGAGUGCUGGAGAGGUAAGCGGAAUUCCUAGUGUAGCGGUGAAAUGCGUAGAUAUUAGGAGGAACACCAGUGGCGAAGGCGGCUUACUGGACAGUAACUGACGUUGAGGCUCGAAAGCGUGGGGAGCAAACAGGAUUAGAUACCCUGGUAGUCCACGCC